AUUGAACGCUGGCGGCAUGCUUUACACAUGCAAGUCGAACGGCAGCACGGGGGCAACCCUGGUGGCGAGUGGCGAACGGGUGAGUAACACAUCGGAACGUGUCCAGUUGCGGGGGAUAACCCAUCGAAAGGUGGGCUAAUACCGCAUGAGCUGGCAACAGGAAAGCGGGGGACCCGCAAGGCCUUGUGCGAUUGGAGCGGCCGAUGUCCGAUUAGCUAGUUGGUGGGGUAAAGGCCUACCAAGGCUUCGAUCGGUAGCUGGUCUGAGAGGAUGAUCAGCCACACUGGGACUGAGACACGGCCCAGACUCCUACGGGAGGCAGCAGUGGGGAAUUUUGGACAAUGGGGGCAACCCUGAUCCAGCCAUGCCGC
rnacentral:rRNA from 1 species